rnacentral:tRNA from 1 species
UGGGCCCUUAGCUCAGUUGGUCAGAGCAGAUGACUCAUAAUCAUCGGGUCGGGGGUUCAAGUCCCUCAGGGCCCAU